rnacentral:sRNA from 1 species
ACGCUUCCUGCCAUUACAUACGUUUCAACGAAUAUACCCUCCUUUUACUCUACGAGCAACGGGUACAAAAUAGAGUAAACCUACUGUAUGAUAUAAUUUCCCGAUUUCAAUAAUUAUUUAAUGUACAUCAUAUUAGAACGGUAGAACCACGAAACUUAUAUUUAUUUUCUAAAAUUUUACGAUGUAAUCGUUAGAUUUUUAUUCUGUUUAGAAUUAUGUAAAAAAACGGUGUAUGCCGAUAAAACGAAACCCAAAUUAAUUUGUUAAUUUUUUUCCUUUUUGUUCCCACGAAGAAUUUAUAUUCUUCACUUCCGACUGAAAUCAAUAUACACUAAAAUUGGCGAGAAUUGAUUAUGAUGUUUUUAAAAUACUUAAAACUGCAUUUUUCCAUAACCUAUUUAUUUACUAUAAGUUAUGUCUUGUAAAUACAUAUUAAAUUAAGUUAGACUAUCCUAUUCGGCGCCAAAUCAACUGUAUUGUUUUGCUGUAGGCAGGCACUUCUGCCCCAAAUGCGUCUUCAAGUGCCUUUCCGGCACAAAACAGACCCACCUUGAUGAAGCUUCAGCCCAAACAAAUUUUCACAAGAGCAAUGGAGAAUCCGAGGAAAAAUCUGCCCAUAAAGAAAGGACUUCGAGAAAUGUAUAGGCCAGCAAAGUUAGAAUUUGGCUAUUUCAAUUUAUAUAUAACAAAUAAGGAGGUAGCUUCAACAAGACGUAGAACAUAAUAAGAACAUAUGAUUAAAAACAACAAAUCUAUGAUUUCUUAUUACGUUUAAUUGAAUUACCGACUGUUCCUAUGAGAGCUAUAUGAUAAUUGCCCAAUCAUUAUUCGGUGUAUAUGAAAUUAGAACGCUCUAUGAUCAAUAACUAGUUUAGUUAAUAAUUCUCCGAGUUUUCCCCUGCCAGCUAUAAAUACACCGAUUAGAAAAUAUAAGCUUUAAAAUAGA